CCGAGUUCCAGCAGCUCCCAACCCGUGUGAACCGUACCCCCCUCUGUUCUCGUUGCUUCCGGCGGGGGCCCCCAGGCAGCUUCGGCGCGCCUGGGGCGCCCGCCGGGGGCGGCCUGCGCCCCGAACUUCUGAAAAGAAACCCGUCUCCCGGACCGUCUGAGUGGAUUUUAGCGAAUCAAAUCA
rnacentral:misc_RNA from 1 species